CCCUUAGAUGUUCUGGGCUGCACGCGCGCUACACUGAUGCACUCAACGAGUUUACAACCUUAUCCGGAAGGAUUGGGUAAUCUUUUGAACGUGCAUCGUGAUGGGGAUAGAUUAUUGCAAUUAUUAAUCUUCAACGAGGAAUUCCUAGUAAGCGCAAGUCAUCAGCUUGCGCUGAUUACGUCCCUGCCCUUUGUACACACCGCCCGUCGCUCCUACCGAUUGAACGUUUUAGUGAGGUAUUUGGACUGGACCUUCGGAGGUUCGCGCCUCCGUUGCUGUUCGGGAAGACUCCCAAACUUGAGCGUUUAGAGGAAGUAAAAGUCGUAACA
rnacentral:rRNA from 1 species